rnacentral:rRNA from 1 species
AACGUAGGACGCAAGCGUUAUCCGGAGUUACUGGGCGUAAAGCGCGAGCAGGCGGCUCGACAAGUUCGAUGUGAAAGCGCCCGGCUCAACCGGGCGAGGCCAUUGGAAACUAUCGAGCUGGAGGGCAGUAGAGGCAGGCGGAAUUCCGGGUGGAGUGGUGAAAUGCGUAGAGAUCCGGAGGAACACCAGAGGCGAAGGCGGCCUGCUGGGCUGCACCUGACGCUGAGCCGCGAAAGCCAGGGGAGCGAACGGG